rnacentral:misc_RNA from 1 species
GUAUUGUAUUGCGUUAAACGCGGCACACAUUCCAUGAGACUUCGUUACAGUGUGUGUGGUAAAGACGCAGAACCAUGGUGGGAGGGACAGGCCCCCCUGACCAUAGAACUACAGAGGGUGCACAGGUGUGAGUGGAUGUGUGAACAGAGCGUGCACAUGCCCCCGUUUGAGGACCAGCAACAACUCUUGUUGACAAUUCAGUAAUGAUCCUUCCGCAGGUUCACCUACGGAAA